rnacentral:rRNA from 1 species
GCGAGAAUAUUCGACAAUGGGCGAAAGUCUGAUCGAGCGACGCCGCGUGUACGAUGAAGUUUUUCGGAAUGUAAAGUACUUUUAUGAGGGAAGAACGUUGACGGUACCUCAUGAAUAAGUGGUUGCUAACUCUGUGCCAGCAGCAGCGGUAAUACAGAGACCACAAGCGUUAUCCGGAAUUAUUGGGCGUAAAGGGUGAGUAGGUGGUAUUGUUAGUCGGGUUUGAAAGAUCGUGGGCUCAACCCAUGAUAUGGACCCGAAACGGCAAAACUAGAAUAUGUAAGAGGUUAGUGGAACUAUAUGUGUAGGGGUAAAAUCCGUUGAUAUAUAUGGGAACACCUAAAGCGAAGGCAGCUAACUGGUACAUUAUUGACACUGAAUCACGAAAGCGUGGGGAGCAAACAGGAUUAGAUACCCCCGUAGUCCCUGAGCGGGCUGGCAAGGCGCAU